rnacentral:lncRNA from 1 species
AACAUCACAUCUCAGACUGUUUCUAUCUGGCGAUUGAGAAACUGACAGGCCCAAAGAGCUCUCCAAUCGUGCCUCGAAAUGAGGCCGGAGAGCCGGUAACCUGAGAUCGCCUAAGAUCGAAAAGCACUUGGUUUACAGCCAAGCAACGACAAAAAAGAGUCCCAUGUCUUUCUUGAUUGGUAAACCCAACCAGCGAUUUACAACAAACAAGUCUUUCUUCAUUGCUUAAAGUAAGUAAAGAAAGCGGAUCACAAAGACUGUUCAUAUAUAUAUGAAAUAUAUCUGUGUUGGGAAGGAUUCCAAGGAUGUAUAUGUAUAUCUAGAAAACCAACAAAAGAUAUUGAGAAAGGUCAAGGAAAUAAGAAUGAGAAUAAAAAGGGUAGAAAUGGACGAGGGGGUGGAAAUAAUACGGGAUCAAUGCCGCCGAAACAACCGAAAGGGUUGGGGACACCCCAACAGAGAGGGUAGGGGGAAAGUUGCUUUGUAUUAAACGAGUGAUUCAGAGUUGUCUUGCCUUUCUAAAUUCAAGCAUGUCUGUUAUGCUAGUUCAUCUAUAGAACGUCAAGACCUUGUCUUCCGCUAGAUACCCGAGAAAGUAGAUUAAGGUAAUACUUUUUCCAAAAAGCCCACCCACGUCAGGGUCAAAAGUUUGUCUGCCCAUUAACAACAAGAAAGCCAAUUCAUAGCGCAAGGAAAAUAAAGGAAGGGUAGGAGCUAUCCAGUAGAAUGCUAGGAGACAAAAGAAGAGGACCUCGCUACACGAAUUGAAAGGAAAGCUCGGACUUCUAAUCUAGCUUCGAAUAACAUUAAUAAUCUCGUUCAUUUUUCCUCCAGUCCAGCAAGGAGCGGAGCCAGUUCAACUCAUGAAAUGGAUGCUUUCGUAGGGACUGUAUGACUUUUUCUUCCUAAAGCUAGAGUUGGCCUGACCGGCUUCGCGGGAUCAUUUCCACUCUGUAGGCCGCUCAUUCCUAAAUAGGAAAGAAAGUGCCUUUUCGAUUCUUCCUUCCUGCUUUACCCAGGAAAAUGGACUCAUUCUAGCUCUCCUCUACUUCAACCACUAAGCGCUUCGCUCCUUUAAUUCAGAAUAGAAAAUCUCGCCUUUUUGGCAUGAACAUAUAGCAUGUGCGCCGUGAGGUCAAUCACUGUCAGUUCUUCUUUAGAAAUUCUCGAACAUGAUGAAGAGCUCUUAUCGGCUUGAGGCUUCUUUUCAAGCUGAGUCGAAAUUUCAUAAGAGAAGAAAGAAAGUAGAAAGGAUUUGGAUUCGAGGCUUGCUAAGUGAAGUCAACAAACAAAGAAAAAAAGCUUUCUCCGAGAAAGCGUCUGUUCACGUCAGGGUCCGGGGUAGGCUUCUUCUUCGAGAUUGGCUUGGUCUUCAGUGUGGGCAGUCUCAUUUGCUAAUCUAUAUGUUUUCAGUUUCAAGAGGGAAGAAGCGGGGUAGAGUAAUUGGUCAACUCAUCAGGCUCAUGACCUGAAGAUUGCAGGUUCGAAUCCUGUCCCCGCCUAAUCAUCUGAGGCCGUAGUCAGCCUCCAUCUUUCAGAUUCGUAAGUAACUCAGUGAGUGCUUUCCUUUUCCCAUGUCUUUCUUGAUUGGUAAACCCAACCAGCGAUUUACAACAAACAAGUCUUUCUUCAUUGCUUAAAGUAAGUAAAGAAACGAGAUACUAGUAACCUCUUGUUGGGGGAAGCAGUUAAAAAAUGAACCAAAGCAAAUGAAAGUGCCAAAUAAUCCGAUCGAAAUCCAAAACCUACUUCUGUACUUCCCCUUAUCAAUCAUUUGUUUUUGUGGCUCAUAAUCUUAUUUUUAUUGGUAUGGUUAAAGCAAAGAAAUCUGAAGGGAACAAUAGACUUUUUACAAAAAAGGGACAUCCCCUAUACAUUGCGAUGCACGCCGCUUUCGUACGAGGUCGUGCCGCAACCGCAACUAUUUAAGGAUAAGGGAAUCCCAAAUGGGUUUGUUGAAAUGGAGAAAAGGCAAGAACGAUAAAGGCGACGGCGCACGUUUACCUACUAGGCGUAUUGGUUAUAACAUUUGAAUUUCUCUUACAUUCCACGUUUCCGAAACGGAUCCUAUCAAAUAUUUUACAUUUUCUAUGAUCAUCUCUAUUUUAGGUAUUCGGGGAAUCCUCCUUAAUAGACGAAAUAUUCCUAUUAUGUCAAUGCCAAUUGAAUCAAUGUUAUUAGCUGUGAAUUCGAACUUUUUGGUAUUUUCCGUUUCUUCGGAUGAUAUGAUGGGUCAAUCAUUUGCUUCAUUGGUUUCAACGGUGGCAGCUGCGGAAUCCGCUAUUGGGUUAGCCAUUUUCGUUAUCACUUUCCGAGUCCGAGGGACUAUUGCUGUAGAAUUUAUUAAUAGCAUUCAAGGUUAAACAUGACUCCUAGAGAAUUACCAAAAUACGAAGUUCUCUUCUUUUUGAUUUUGACUUGGUUGGCAGGGUCAGGGCCUUUCUCGCUGGGCGAGCGCAUCCGAUUGAUUCGAAAGUCCUUUCCUAAACCACUUCCCGUUCAGUUGCUGAAAGAUAGAUAGAACCUUUCUAACUAAAUGAGAUUGAGUUCCACGCAAGCUAGAAAGAUGCUUUUUGCUGCUAUUCCAUCUAUUUGUGCAUUAAGUUCGAAGAAGAUCUCAAUCUAUACUGAGAUCUCGAUGCUGCUAUGUUUCAUUACCUCUUUCGUGACUUUCUUUAAGAAGCGCAAGACCCUCUUUUUUUAGGGUUCUUGUCCGCCAACGGCAUUGAAGCAAGCAGUUUUUAACCCCACUUUAUUUGCGUUCACUCUGUUUUUUUUAUUAUCUUUUAUGGAAAGAUAAUAAUAUCUGCUUUCAGCUUUUACCACAUUUUUACUUCCACUCCCUUCAACAAGCAGAUUUUGGCUAAACAGCUCCUAAACAGCCAGUUUUAGGGGCAGGCUGCUCCUGUUCCACUGUCCGAUGAGGCGAGCACUGAAGCUGCCCUUAUGGUUUAAAGGAAAGGCUAUGCUCUAUUAUUACCUCACCACUGAGGGAGACCUUCAAACUUGGAAAUGAAUGCUUCUCCAGCUGCAGUAGCUACUGGAACUUCCAUAGCGGGAUCUAUGUCAGUAAGUCGUAUGCGCUUAUAGGUGAGAAAUUUGCUUGACUCGGCCGCAUUCACUAAAAUAGAAUGCCUAACAAUGCUCCUUUCAAGGUCUGUCAGAUUUCGGAUAUAGUUGAAGUCGAAUCGGGGACGGGAGCUGCACGGAUCCGCGAAAGAAGUCAGUCUUUCUCUCUCAUCUCAUUGUUGAUUCUGAGUCCAAAGCUAAUGCUUUCUGUUCCACCCGAACUUCUUCACUUGCUUUCUUUCACAUUUCUUGUUCAAGUCUAUACUGUACUGUAAUAAUGUAAUAAGAAGUACAGGUUUCAUACUGUGGAGUAGUGGUUUAAUCUACUACUGUAAACUCUUAGCUCCAAUGAUAGUAGUGGAGAUUCUUCUAUAUAGAUUCGUUACUCUAUUCUUAUUAGAGAAUGACUCUAUUACUAUAUACUAUAUUGACGUCAUUAACUCGUUAUUAUAUAAGAUAAGUACUAAUCCUAACUUCGUACUAACUGCUCCUUUACUAACUCAGUACAAUAUGAUGCUAUGGCUAAAUUACUAUAUACUAGAAAACUCGUUAUAUCAGUACUAACGGAUGCUACUAACUCUAGAAGGACUAAGAAGUACUCGAUUCGUUACUAGAAGAACUACGUCCUUUCUUCAACCUCUUUCAUCCCAGCUCAUAUCAUAGAACUACGAAUAAGAGAGGUAAGGACCUAUGCACUGAUACGGAAACCUCUGACAAGUCUCAUGGUCAGAUCUACAGACUCUUCCAAACCUUUCAACAUUUACAUUCAAAUAACAGUACAAUCGUAAUACUCCAGUGAAGUAGUUGACAGAAGUGUAGUCGUUUAUGUAAGUACUCUUAAAAACCAUUAUUCCAUACUCCAGAAACCACUCCCGUAGCUCCAAGUAGUUAACUUAUUCCACUUCACCAGUAUGAUCUGUUGGUUGUACAGUAUCUUCUGUUAGCCUUAGUACAUAGUCAGUAUAGACUAACGUUGGCUAACGUUACUAACUAGUUAUUACGUCACUACUCGUUGAGGCUAGACCUUGAAGUUGGAAGUUUCAGUUAAAGUCCCAGGUUCAAUAAUAAGCAAGAGGAUAGUAAGCAGAAAGCAAAUAAGCUAGCAAGUAGUUAGAAGUAUUCCCCAGCAAAUGACAGACUUGAUACAUAAACAAAGGUCAUGCCACCUUAUACGUCGUGAAACUAACCUUAAUUCAUUCUAUAGGGUAUCUUAUCCCAUAUCCGCCAGUCAAGCAGGAAAUCCAGUAAGCCCUUUUUAGCUAAGCUUCUUCUAUAAUUUAGUUCUCUGGGCAAGGUAUCCUACUUUCUAGGCUCCCUCGCUACUUACGAGCUCAAAAACGGAGUGUGGUUGCUCGUUAUAGUGCUGAACAGAGUAAAGGGCGGACGAGAAGGCCCCGGGCCCGGAUGGAACGCUCGAUUUUUCAAAGAUUGCUGGAACAUAGUAGAAAAGGAUGUGACUAGGUCCAAAACUUCUUUCGGAAGUGAACUCCCUUUGGAGACCCAACCACCUAUCUUUUCUUUCGAUUACAUCAACCAGUAACUGAGGGACAGAUUGCCCUAAGGAUUCAGGGACGAGGGAGGGCAGCACUCACGUAGUAGAGCCUGAUAGAAUGAGAGACAGCGGGAAGUAAAGGAGAGGAUGUGAAACCGAAAGACUUGAACUUCUACUGGAGAGCCUACCACACCGGAGUGGAAAGAGAGGGAAAGAGUCUUUCUUCUUUGUCGCCUUCGAUCUAUGAAAUUGCGAGAUCUGCAUUUGAGAGAGUCCGUGCGAAGGCUACUAGUUCAACUGCUUCACCAACGAGUUCAGCAGCUCAAGUCAAGGCCGAUACCGCUUGCCGGGAAGGACACUCUCGAAUCCGAAUCAAAGAGAAGGGAUAGCCACUCAGCAGCCACCUGAUAGAAAGGUGAUGGAACCUUUUUUCAAUUCAUUAGAUUAGCGAUCACAGGUCCGCCGCCGUCUAGGGAUCAGAGUGAGAGGCAUAAGAAGAUAAAAAGUUCCUAACCUCGGAGGCCAGGAAAGCUAGUCAGAAUCAGGGAGGAAAGAACUCUACCGAUUAUCAAAUCCCUGGGCUUUGCCAAAGACAUAGGAGGCAUACUGAUCUUAGUCUACGUCCGGCUCUCGAACCUGAUCUCGUAGAUUACCUCAACCAAGUAAUAGCAUUGACUCACCUUCUCGUUCUCUAUGCGAUUGGAAUCUCAGUCUGAGUCCCAGCCGGAAAGAGAAGGGGACUGAGAGAGCUAAGUGCCUUUGCGAGUAGCUACAUCUGAACUGACCUGCUGUGCCCAAUUUAACUGAGAAAAAAGGAUGAAUCCACUCCGGGUUUAGGGGUUACAUAAGAUCUUGAGUUGGACCAGCCUUUACUUCGUUAUCUAUGUAAGCAAUUGUCCGAGAUUGAUGUGGAGAGGGCAGGCGACUUGGGGGAAUGAAUCUCUAACUCUGAGGGAAGGAGAACCCAAUUCACCUUGUCUGAGGGGUUUCAUAGGGAGGGACCCCACAUUGAAUACCUUUCUCAGUUCUCAGUGUGCGAAAGAUAAAGAUGUUGUAUGCUUUCGUUCUGGCUGAAAGCAACAAGAAAGGAAGAAGAUGAGAUGGUAGGAAAGACUUGAACUGAGACCGUGAGCUACAAGCGACUCUAGCAUAGCAGUAGGAGCCGAAGGACGAAGAACUGCUUCAAGCCACGCCGCGAGAGCAGCUGAACGAGGAGAGAACAAAGAGACUGUCUGAGCGGCGAGAACUUGAUCUCAUCGGUAAAUGGGGUACCACUAUCGAAUCAAAGAGAAAGUUCUCGAUAUUAUCCAAUAACUGGACUGGAGCUUCUAGCACCGACAUAGACAUAUUAAGUGAAAGGAGUCGGGAUUUGUCCCAAAAGGGGGUCCCACGAUGAAAUGACUGGUCGGUGAAGCCCUAUGAUGACUAGCUUUGAAGCCAGGAGUGCAAACUCUGCUCUGACUAAUAGAAGUCUCAUUUCCUAUCCUGUUAAGGUGCCGUUUUCAAGAAAUUCAUUUUCAAGCAAUUCAAAAGAGACUAUCGCUUUGUCAUUCAAUUCUUCUUAUCUUAUUCUCCUGCUACAAAUGCCAAAACAGAGAUCUCAAGAUCAGCUCUUUCGAUCGCCGAGUCAGAAAAGAUUGAAGCAUAGCGCUUUUCUUUUGAUCUAGAGGGAUUGAUUCAAUAGAAUAUCCCUAAAGGAAGUGGUGUCUGGACGCCUUUCCUUUCAAUCAAAGCGGAUUCGAGCUCGCCCGCUCUAACGGCUUGUUUCCGAAGGUCUGAUUCAAAUAAACCGAGAAGGGCUCCUUCCUACUUAUCUUAGGGAUCACAGAAAUGAUUAUCUUGUUCGUGGCAAUCAAUGUCGCUAAAAGUGGAACGUAUGGACUGCUGUGUAGAAUAGGAGCGAUAGGCCCUACUGGACGUGGAAAUGACGGAAUCAUAAAAAUUCGCAAUAGCAGGAGCAAAGAAAUUUCAUCCGCUUUUAGCCAAUGCUGAAUGCCUCUUUGCUUUGGGAGGCAAUCAAUAGGAGUUGAUGAUUCUCUUGUGAAGAAAGCAACUUAUCUCUUACUAAAGAAAGGACCUUUUGUAAGGAGGAAUCCUUCUUUUUUGUUGUAAGGUCUGGACUCGAAGAGGGAGUCGAUUCACUCAAGACAGCUAGAGGACGAGAGAAAGCCUUACCAGAAGUGAAGUAAAGAAGAGCGGGAAAUAGAAGAUCUUAAAACGAUUGUAAAAAGCAAUCUCCCCCAUAAAAAAGAAGGGACUGACUUCUUUCUUGACAAGGAUCCUGAAUAAAUCGCGCAUGCUCCAAGGACUUCACGGAAUUAGGAGGCACACAGGUAGCAAGAGAAAUGCGGGUAAGCGACGACCUCAAAAAAACAAGUUUUGAUUUCCAGAAAGAUCCCCACGCUGCGGGAUGAACCUCGCCAUAAGAACCACCAGCGACUGGGCACGGGACUCAACCUCUGAACCUCUGCCUGACCAGGCACGGAAGCAGGAACAGGCCCAUCUGUGGCAUCGGAUUUGAAUGCCGAGAGGAAGAGGAAUCCAUUGACUGAAAUCCAUUCUUGGUUUCAACUUGCUGAGUCUCGGAAUCAGUUCCGUGGGCGUCAACAAGCUAAUUGGUUAGGCGCGUUGUGGUUUCCUUGGAUUAUUUACAAGCGGUAUUCAAGCUCUUAUUUUUGCUACUUUAGCUGCGGCUUAUAUAGGUGAAUCCAUGGAAGGCCAUCAUUUACUAGUUUUCUAAAUAGUCUUUUUUUUAGUUUAGCCCGCCGCAAUGUAUGUGCGGCUCAAGAUAAUCUACUUAGGGAACAUAAAUAUAUAAAAUAGAAAGAAAUUUGGAUAAUUUAAUAAAAUAAAUAUAAUAUUUAUAAUUAGAUUACUCAAAUUCUGAUAUUUCUAUGCAAUAAUUCGGUCUAACGAAUUGAUUUAGAUUUAUUAAAUACAUAUGGGAUAAUAAAAAAGUCAAACGAUUCUUUUCAUAAGUUUUCUAAGUGGCCUGCUCUUCUCUCUUUUCUCUAUUGAAUUUAUAGUAGCGAGACGGAUUCACCACUACUUAUGACUUCGCCAAUGGGGCAAACGAAGGCUAACCCGUUCUGGUUGUUAUGACUGGCAAGAAUCAGUAGGUUCUUUCAGUCUUGCUUGUGCGCUUUGGUCCUUCUUACAGAGACUAUCCUUUGUAGUUGUUAUGAUCCAUCCAAGGAAUGAGCUUCCCCAGAGUAAAAUCCCGUGGACUACAAGGAAAAGAUAGAACCUCGCCCAGCAGCUGAUUCAAUAGCAGAUGGUCUUGGAAUUUCAUUCGAUGCUUCUGAUUCAACUCCAAGACAACCAAGGAAGUAUGCGCGAAGAUAGGGUUUAGCCCCGGUCGCUUAUGUUGAGGCGGCCUUCGCUGUGCUGCACUGGCUUGAGGAUAUGAGGAGAUAGAAAGAAGAGAGACCUAAGGUCUCAGUUAUGGUGUUACAGUCCUGCUUCCACCAAAGGCAGGCUUGCUUACAGAACUGACUUAUGGAGAUCGAUUUUGACAAGAUUCAGUCAGUACCAACAAGGAAAGAAGGACAGAUUAGCUCUAAAACCUUAACUUGCUUGAAUCUUCGGAGAUCUGAGUAUCGGCAACUCCCUCAACAGCUUCACUCGCUUAAAGGACUACAGCAUAAAGUCCUUGCAUUGCUGUGAGUUUCAGACUCAGAACUCUUUCAUUAUUGAUUUCAUGAACGUCGUUUACAACUAAGCUUUUUCCCUAGUUUCUUACUUCCCCUUAGUGUUUGUUGUGUUGGACUUGAUAUACCUCGACCCUAGUCUUGGCUAGUAAUAGGAAACAUAAAGAAAAAUAUAGUUGUCUAUUUAAUUUAAUAUGAUAAAUAAAGUCUUCCUGCCUUUCGGAAGGAGCAUUCCUCUUUCUUUUGUUGACUCGCUUGCUAGCUUUCCAACUGGAACUACCGAUUAUACGUUAACAAAAAAACGGGCUGCCUUCCCAAACUUGGCAGGAAUAUCUCCUACUCGCAGGAAAGGGAAGAAAGACAAGAGAUCUGAUCUAACGAAGAAAACGAGUACUGGCUAGGCUAAGAACAACGCCUUUAAGGCAGGCUAACUGGACUACCACUGCCUCUACUGAUGGCCUUAGAGAAAGAACUUAACUCAUCAAUCAGUCAGUCUAUAGCCUUCCAGUUUUCAGGAUUUGCUGGUCUUACCGUUGUUCGGAGGAGCUCCUCCUUCUGAGAACACGGGUUCAAGGGCCUUGCUACUCCAACGAGGGCACCCUUUAUUUAGGCUUCUUCAGUCCAUCGGCGAGAACAAAACAAGCCCUUUAAGCAGAACGUCAUGCCAUUGGGUUGAUCGAGUGAGACUCCCUAGCUGUAGCUCGAAUUGCUAUUGCUUGAUUGAGCAUUCGAAUCCAUUCUCUUCAAUUGGAGAGGAAGCCAGCAUAAGGGAGCCCACUCGACCUAAAGCUAACAAAGACUUAUGGCAAGGAAAUCUAUUCCAUUCAUUCAGGCUUUUCUAUAUCUUGAAAGGUUCAUUCCUACUACUUCAUUUAAGACUUUCAGGCCUCUCUCCUGUCACUAGCUGCCGAGCGUGCCUUGUGUGUGUCUCAGUGGAAUCAAAGCCCUUCCGCCUUUGACUAGACUCUCGGAGAAGCAGAUGGUUAAGUCAAGGCCAACCAAGGUGCGUUGUUAGACUCUCUACCUAUGAUAGUUGGGCUCUAGCCUUAGGUGGCUCUCGCCAUUUGACUACGACCCAUAUCCGCCUUAAGAGCUAACGGUCAACUGGCUAACUGUCUUGUUCGCUCUACGGUAAGAACUGCCUACUAAUGAAAGAAUGACAUAGAAAGUAUAGGCUGAUAUAGGGCUUUUCGUGUUAUAACUAAUGAAGAAGGUAAGUUCAGACUUCAUUAUUUUCUUUCCUCACCGACUAUUUUGUAUAGAAGAGUUAGUUUAAGAUUGACCUACGGCAUAACUUAAAUGAAUUCUUAGGGACCGAUAGAUGAAAACGGAAGAAAUUCUAUAGUUACAUAGAUAAGCUUAUAAUCCCUACGGAAAGAACAACAACGACCGAGAAAACCCUGCCCACACAUGACCACUUUGUCUUCGGACCUGGCCGGGAUAACAGGAGCUGUAAGAUUUACGUAAUAUACUUUCCUUGUUCACCCUCUCUUUUCAGUAUAUUCCGUUGGUGAAUUAAUAAAGGCGAAAUGAAAUCUUUCAUGACCCGGCCCGGGUAGUGAAUAAACUUGGAAAUAGAUCCAAUAGUUCAGUUCGUUCGAGAGACCUGCUCGCUCGGAAUGGAAUCGGUUGAAUGUACGACGGAUCAUGAAACUCCCAACUUUUUAUGGACUAGCCGUCGCUAACUCUAGAUCAAAGAAGUGGGAAUCGGGUUGUAACCGAAGCCUGUGAUAUGGAUAGGCGCCUUGAUCGCUGGAAUGUAGGGUCUCCAUCCGAGAAUUCCAGUCUGGCAGACAAAAACUUAUACUGACAAGGAACGUCUGUCGAAUAGUUGUUGGCCUUGAAAAGAUCAAACCAACGGGUCGGCAACCGGAUAAGCUCCCUCUUUCAUUAUUAUUAUAUUUAAAAAAAGAAGGGGUUGGAUGGGAAGGUACGCAGUGAAAGACCUGAAACGAGCGUGAGUGUGUUCCCAGUAGUUCAUUCCGAUAGGGAAUUCCGAGUUCGAUCUAAGUGGCUAACCAAGGACAGGCUCCAGAGGAAGAGGAUGCAUUCCGGUAUGAAUGAUAUAAUUCACGCUCAUAAAAGGAGUAUGAGAAGUUCUGUGCCAUUUUCUGGCGGGGAACGGACUUGACUGACCAGUAGAAGGUUGGUUCUGCCUUGACAGUGAGAAGAAGAAGUAGUGGGCAAACGAGCCAUAUAAGAUCUCCUAAUCUGCCUGUGCGGGAAUUUUCAUUAUGAGCGAGUUGAAAUGGUCGGUUCGCUUUCUUUUAGUAACGAAUAGCGACUAUGGGCAGAAGAGAGAGUAUAUUCCGAAAGGUUGGGCGAAGUCUCUCGACCUUUGUGAACAAGAUUGAACCAAAAACUUCUUAUGAGCUGGGCAGUCGGACAAGUAGUGAGUUGAGUAUUAUCCUGUGUAGGGCUUACCAGUCAAUUAGAGUGAUGGGGCAUUUAACAGGGGCGUACAAUCCCAAGGGAGAACGGACACGAGGGAAAGUAAUGCUAACUCAAUUCCCGGGAUUAGGGUUAGGAUCAGUCUUUGAAAAAGACAACUUUCUUGACUAGCUGACCCCAUGUCCUCAAUCAAUCCCUUGGUUCGCUCGAUUUAAGAACUCAGCAGAAUGAAUGGCAUUUCAUAGUAUCGAGCCCAGAAAGAAGCAUACCGGGCAUUCGCUUGGUAGGUACAUUUUAUGUACAAUAGAUAAGUUUAUUCUAUUCUAAAGACGGGGUUUUAUUAUGAUUUAUGUGAAGGUAGACGACACUAGCUGAGCUGGGUUCUUUCUUAGACACAUGCUGGUCUAUGUGCAAUGAAAAAGCAAUGGAAAGAGAGCCGAUGACUCUGAUUUAUGAUAGGAUGUGCCAUUCCCGGAAAGGUAAGAAGGAAGUGUGAGUGCUUCUAUCACAAAUAACGAAACGAGCGAGUGAAGACCUAGAAAAGCUCUCCUGAGUCAACCUACCCUACCCGGAGUUACAUUGUUUCCCUGGAAGUGAGCGAUAAUAAAGUACAUUUAGAUUUCCAAGGUAGGAUUAGCGGCUAAAGGGCUCGGGAGCAUCUACCUCAUUUCCCAAGCUGGAGUGGAGUGGGAAAAGGCUCUCGAUCUGCCGGAAAAUGAGGAGGCGCCAGCUUGUCUGCGUUCCCAUGUGGCAGAUGAAUUACGAAUCCUUUUCCAUAUUGGGCGCAAGAAGACCCUAUCCGACAGCGAAUUUAACAAAUUAAUCGGCGCAGAAAAGUCCUUUUUUGUAGUGCCGGACUGCUCUGGUCUGUCUCACAUUCAUCAAGGAAUGAUGUGCCAUCCACGACACACUACCAGGUAAGAACUCAGCCUUCAGCUGCUCCCAGGUUCCGAUCGAGCACUUCCCUAUGCCGACCUCAUCCUAUAUCUCCAAACGUGUAAAAGAGGGGUUGCUACUUCAUACCUUUCCAUUUAGCUUCUUGUUGUUUUCCUGAUUCUUAGGAUAACAAUAUGGGACUCUUAAUAUCAUCCCUUAACAGGACUUCAAUCAGUAUUGAUCCGGCAAUGGGACGUCGCUUUAACUCAAUUCCAUAGAGCCUUCGCUCUAUUCUUUGUGAGCUUUGGGAAGAAGAUCAAUGCCUUUCUUUCCUCUUUCCCAUAAGAUGAAAGAAAAGUUGGAAUAGGAUGUGUUCAAACUUCUUAGCCCUCGUCAGCUGCCCUUGCUACGCUUCGGAUGCUAUGAGCUCGGCUUAGCUUCACUUCGUCGGGAAGGAGUGUAGCUAAGGUCAACUCCCUCCGGAAGGGGGGAUACCAGAAACUCUCCAAGAAGAGCAACUAUCUACUGCUAGCUCCUAGCUGUUUUCUCUUCUUGGCAUCCCUGAUAGCAGCACUUUCAGGUGUUCUUAGGUUAGUUCGACGGUAGGGCUAGUUGAAGCAUCUUUAAGAAAUGUCCUGACGGAAAUAAAUGUCCCAUUAUUGUUAAAGGAAGCUAAGAAGAAGUGAAGUAUCCCCUUCAAAACAGGCAACCAAGACUUAUGAAGUGCGUUCAGGCUCACUUUACACUUUCUAAAUGGGAACCCUAAUUCGAAAUAUGAAAGAAGUUUGCAAGAGAUCCAAGGGAUCACAGUCUUCCUUCAGUAAAGGCUGUAUGUAAUUCAGUCUUCGCCCACCUUUCUAUAUGCGAGUAUGCGAUUGUUCGCUCGACCCGCCUGCCCAGUUACGAAAUGAAAUAGUUAGCUCUUAAAAAGCUAUAAAUUCAAGGAAACUCAGUCUCUGAGUUGCUAGGAAUUCCCAAGCCUUAGCGAAGAAAAAAGCCUACUUGAAGAGGGAUGCCAAGAGGAGCAAGUUUACUCACUUUAUCUUAAUCUUAUGUAAUAUUACGUACGACCCCGCGAGCUAAAUCUAAAUUGGUCUCAAAGAUUAUCAAGGGCUUUGCGCCUCUCUUACCCCUCCUUCUAUCCAAUAUCCAAAGAUACUUUAGAGACUUUCCCAGCUGUAGUAGCUUCCCUUCCAUCCCAUCGAUUGAGCUUUCUCUCGCUUAAUUCAAUAGGGCCUUAGUAGACCGCUUUGAAUUCGAUAACUCGAUCGCUUCUUUGCUGCUCUCGGCUUCUGAAUUCGUACCUUUCAAUAGCCAGUCUAGAAGCCCUAAUCUUGUAAGGCACGUGACUGCAUUCCUAAAUUCUAUCUCUGCUUCCUUCACUCCUUCUUAUUACAAUACUGUAAGUGGGGCUGGGCAAGCCAAGCAAAAUGGGAGUUUCCUCUUUGUAUCCUCUAGUCUCAAGACUUUCUUUCACUUUGAAAAUUAGGGCCGGAAAAGGACUCGUUCUUGAAAAGGAGAGAGAACUAAAAAAACCUUGAGUCCAAGUCCGGAGUAGUGGAUGUCCACCCUGCGGCCCCCCAAGAGAGUGGUCUUGCCCUUCCUUUGCUUUGCCCUUGGCGAACUGGCAAGGGGUGCACCAAAUCGCACAACCGAAACUCCAAUAUUCGGAAAAAACAUAUGCUUAACACAUGCGUCAAUAACUCCGGUUUCGGGGUAUCCGCCUCUUAGCGCUAAGCAUAAAGUUCGCCGGCUACGAGUUAAACAUUAGUGCAUAUGGGCGGGAAUAGCACACUCCCCGGCGACUGUUUAGGGUUGUCCCUUUUCCGAACCGUAAGAAGAUCGAGAUUUCUCACUACUAGCGGACCAUGCGUUUAAACAAGACUGCUUUCUCAGACUUAAGUAAAAAGGAUCUAAUACUAAUAAAGCAGGGUUCGAAGGUGCUGGGGCUGUAUAGCUCCUGGGAAAGCUAAGCUAUAAGCUAAGAAAUAAAACAUUGAAAGACGUUCACCCCUUCCUCUAUAAUGUUACUUCGUACCUUCUAUCAAGUAUAAAGGGAGUAGAAUUGCUUGUUUGAUAGAACAAGGGAGGAAUGAAUAAGUAAAAUGCCAGUCUCUUUGAGAAGAGUAAGCUCGGAAUCACAGGGGUUUGAAAUUGAUUACACUCCUUCUCUUUCUCUCCCUCUUUCCUCUCUUCAAUUAUAGAGACCCGUACAUACAAAGAUCUAGGUAGCUCAUUUAAAUGAAUUCGAGGAAAACAGCACAUUACAUUAUGGCAGUGAUCUUUAGCUGGUCAUAGCCAUAAUCAUAAUAAAGGCAACGCAAGGUUUGCUCCAUUCCAGACCGACCUACCGUUAGCUUUAAUAAAGCAGUAUUCCCUGGUAAGGACUGGUGGCAUAGCGCAGUCCUCACCGAUGUGGUGUCCAGUCACAACCUAUAGAUAUAGAAUAAGAAGAUUCUCCUUUUACUUACUAUUGAUUUGGAACUUCUAGAUCAUCUCGUUCUACUUUAUGUCUUACCUAGUUUAAGCCUUGGUGGUCUCAUUUAACCAGUGUGCCCACGUGACAAUAAGAGCAUCGGUAAAGGAGAUCCUCCUAUUAAUUCCUAUUGAAGCUGAGCAAAGCAGGUGAUGUGCCACUGUAAUGGAGGGCUCAGAGAGAGUCAAAGUGUCACCACUGAGUACUCCGAACUGGUCUCCGCAAAGCCUUAUACAGGGCUUGUUCUCUGUUUUUAUUGAAACCACUUUUUGAAUGAAUCUCCCACUUCUAUAGCUAUCCUUCUGCUUUCUCUUGUGCUGGCCUGCCUUCUGGUCUUACUAGCCAUCCCUCCCAACUAAAAUUUUGAGUUACCUGUCUAUAAGCCCAGUAUUGCUAGUUUUCUAUCUUUCCUUAUCAAGUUUUAUGGCUGGUCUUCCCCGCAAGCAGUUCACCCAUUAGUUCAUUUGCUCGCCCGAAGCCUUAGCAGGAUACAAAAUAAAAUAACAUGAGUAUUCGCAAGUCUUUGGCAGCUAGGGUUGCAAUUGGCUAGUAGGGUUUAGUAUCUAAGCGGCUGGCUAAUGUAGGGAAUCCACCCAUCUUGUCAGUAGAGUCAAUCGCUCUUCUUCCUUUACCGGAGGUGUCAGUAAAAAUAGUAAUCCUCCUUCAGUCCCUGGAAGUGAUCCGGAUCCGUAGUCGGUGUUCUUAGUGCUGUAAGUGGUACGCACGCCUUAGUCUUAGACUCAAUCUGCUUUUAUGCCAGUAAAGUUGAAGUCUUCUAUUCCCGGAGCCAAGGAAUCGAUUUCUAGUGGCUAACUUUAGCCAGAAGUUUAGGCCCUGCCCUUCCAAGGCGUCUUAUUAUGCUCGCAUGGGUGGUCGCUCUAGCUAUAUCUAUACAUAUCGAGCUAUCAAAAGCUUUUGAUUACAACACUUCGAAUAGUUAAAAAAUAUUAUUAUUUAGGUUGAAAAUAUCCUAGGAAUUCAGUAGGCUGAAAGUAGGGUAUGCUCAUAAUAUUCAUCUAAAGUAAAAGACUAUCUUUUAUGUCAAGAACUAACACUCGUCCGGAUACUAUGCCUUCCAGAACUAACUAUCGACCGCAUCGCAUUAGCUCCCCUGUCCCGCUCGUAUCGUUUCGAUUACUGCCUAGGGGUCGCUACUCUUGUCCCUUGGCUAUGGGCUAUGAACUCCUCAUCUUAACUGUAAAACGGAUUCUGCCCUAAUUUCAUUUUACGAGAAAGCUGCCGGGAUAGGAAAUUUGUGUCAGUUUAAAGUGAAAGAAUGAGCCCUAUGACUAUUCUUGCAAAAGCCCUUUAUACUUUACUUUAUUAGUAUCUCACUUGCCCGAAGGAUUGGAUCUUCUUGCCGGGAAAGAGUUUGGUUACCAAGUUCAGCUAUAGUUGGGAAGGGAACGAAUGGGGAUGCCCGUCUUGAACUUAUAAUUGAUGUAUGAUAGAGCCUCCAGCAUAUAGGCCUAUCUCACUUGGAUUCUUCUCACGAAUUGGAUUUGAACCAAUAUCUCCGGGCGACUUUCCUUUUAGUCGAUCGUGAGUGGUCUGUCGUCCUCCUCAUUAUAGUCCUCCUAAAAUCAAUAGCAUUUAGUCGGAAAACAUCCUGUCUUUUUACCUCAGUAGUCCUAUGCAUAGUAAGUACUAUAGCCCCAAUCAUGGCAACUAAUAAAAUUAGACUAGGAACCAAAAACCAGACGAAAUAGUAGGUAUAAAGUAAAUUGCCCAAUGUUUCCAAAUUAGUCCAACUUCGUACCUUUCCGGCAUAAACCGUAUAUCUAAGAGAGGUAGUAUUUCUUUGGGUUGGUAGUAAUGGAAUGGUUUCAUUAUCUAAAAUGAAGAACAUUUCCCACCAAAGGAUCAGUCCAAUAAUACCACUCACUGGUAAAUAGCGCAAUACUUCUUCGUGAAUCUCCGCUAUUUGAAUAUGGAACAUCAUAACAACGAAUAGGAAUGAUACGGCUAUAGCUCCUAUAUGAACUACUGGGAAGAUCAUAGCGGAGAAGUCGAGACCUAACAAAAGAAGUAAACCUGAAGUGUCGCGAAAGACUGGGAUGGGAAACAAAACGGAAUGUACCGGAUUUUUAGCACGUGCAACCAUCAAACCAGAGACCAAAGCAGGGCUCGACAAAACAGAAAGUAUCAUGGCAUUGAGAAGAAAUGAUUCCCUCCAGACAGACUGAACUCCGUCAAGCCUGUAGGACUAGUGUUUUGACUAUAUAGAGAUGUGGUUGGUUGUUGACCAACAGAAAGAAAGCAUGGCGGCAUAAACCGUAUAUCUCAGAGAGGCCCCCUCAGAGGAGCGUAGAAGGAGGAGAGUAGGCUGGGGUUGCUCCUUAUGUGUAAAAUCCAGUCAGCAAUCUCGGAGUUGGAAUAGCUUUCUAUCUCCAAAUCCAUGACCAUGAUAGCGUAGGCAAAUCUAUUAGAAGUAGUAUCCGUGGGGGUGGUGGAAGCCACAUAAAGCUUUCAUGGACACAGGAGAGAGGUUAACCCUCAUAUCCUUGACCAGAAAUUGUUUGGCAAACUCUACAGCACCAGUUGAGGAUAUCAAAGACUUGUGUGUGGAUAUCUUAACACCAAGCCGUUGUAAGCCUAGCCGGUACUGUUCCGCCACAAGUGGAUCGGUGAUGAGAACAUCAUCACCUAAUAUAGCAUACCUGUCGAACAGGAUCCCAGGUCUAACCUGUUCCGCAGCCCACCACACCAAAACAUGAUGGGUGAACGCGAACAAAGGCCAAUAACCAUAAUAGCCUAACGGUUGACCGGUCACAAAGGACACUUGAGACAGAGCCCUCUUAACGAAGGGUACCUCAAAUACAUUCGUCCCUAAUGUUGUAUUCACAACACUUGAAGCAAAUGACCUGUCAAACAAUAGCGCAAGCCUUUCAAACAGAAACACAAGAGGCCACCAAUCGGUAGCACUCUUGAGGUCAUAGCUUAAACAUGUUUUACUAGGAACUAAACGAAUGAGAGGUGCUGUUUGAUCAUCCAUUGGGAUGCGGCGGAGGACCUCCGCAAACCAAUGGUGGAUGGGUUUCAGCAACCUCUCACAUAGUUUCCUAUUGCGAAUAUACGACGCUUGCCAGCACCCUCACACGUGCAACCUAGUUUGCCUGUGAUUGCGGCCCAUAUCGUCGCAGGAUGGUAGAAAGGGCCCUAUACGGCGCUCAAACCAAUCCAAAUCCUCGGGUGUGUUUUAUUCCUCACAUCAAAGGCGUAACGAAUACGGGGAGGCCACAAGCAGCCAUGUGACCAUUGGGUACCCUGUGAGUGCCCAACGACCAACAGCCAUUGAAAAGCGCCCAACUCAUGAGAAAACGAUGUGAAUGAAGAGCGAAAGUUCCGAAUCUUACGAUAAGGAAGUUUCCUUCUCUUAACCCACACCCUUUUCGUCAAUGAGUGUGUCGGCAAGGCUUUCCAGGUUGGUUCAAACCGUAACCCUUGUUUGUUCCAGGGGUAUACGUUUUAUCCAGGGAGCAUAGCGACUGAUAAGUCGAUUAAAGUUCUCCUUAAUCGAACCAACCAGCCCCACCACCUCGUCAAUAUUAUCGGGUGGGGAUAUUAUACUAGAAAACGUUGAUUUAUCAACCUUCUUUGCCAAAGUAAUGAUCUUUGACAGAGAGAAUCUUUUUUAAUAAAACUUCACCAGCAUGUCCGCUUUCUCAUCCUUCUUCAGAAUCAUACGCCUAUGAUGAGACGGAAUGAUCCGAGGGUAACCGGACCGAGUGAGAGAAACUGGUACCGCAUUGUCAGGAUGAACGAAUUCAUCACCACCAUAGGCCAUCAUCAAGGAUGAAGCUGCUUGCUUAAAAUAGAAAGCGCAGAACAACCACCCUGAUUUCCGACCAAGGUGAACAAUGCGAAUAACAACAAGAUGGAUCCCCACACAGAGUUCCUUGUUCAGACCAUCAAAGAUCACUAAAGCACCUUUUGGUAUGUAUUGCCCCCUAAAGAUCAGAUCCACCAGACGAGAAACUCCAUUCCGCACUGCUGCUGAGUCGUCGGACUUAUCCACCAAGGGAUUCGUGGAAUUUAUAUGGAUUGCGUUGGGGGAAAUCUACCAAAGCUAGGCAGAUAGAUAGACUCCUUUCCCGCUGCUAAGGGAGAGUAAGAAAGAAAAUCAAUCAAAUGAUUGUUUUUUAAUUUAAUCAGCGCCUCCUUUUCUUUUGGGUAUGCAGGUACUACGAGUCCUCUCACUACCAACCAGCAGACAUCAUCUGGCUGGUCUUGCCGGUAUCAACAACAAGAAAAAACAACCAAAUGGAAACAGCAAUUAACUAUGGCUCUUGGCCCAGACAACGUCCUAGGCGUCGGGGAGAUCGUAGCAACAAGGAACGCCUAGACGACGUUUUUAUUCCUGGGCUGCAGUAAGCAGAUCGAGAGGUCGUUCCGCCCCUUGUCCCCGAAUAUGGGUAAUAUGUUCUCAAAAAUUCUUGCUCCAAUCUGACCUAGCUGGCGAGCGAUCCCAGUUCGCGGCAGAGAACAAGACAGCAAGCGAGCGUACCUUUGUUCGCUUCUUCUCCACCAAGCACGGAAGUUUAAGGAUAACUGUAGGUCGGUGGCUACCUAAGGAAACUCCGAUUCGAUCCGCCCCCCAGCUGGGAGGCAUCUACCUCAUCCCGAUCACAAGGAGAGGUUCACCAUGAUGGGGGUACUUGUUUUUUUUCCCUUCCGGAAAGAAUGAAAUGCAUAGGGGACCAUCCUUUUGUUGUGUUGCGGCAUGCUCCUCAGAUUUACGGAUUCGCAGGGGGCCUCAGGCCCUACUUAGUUGACUGACAAUGACAAAGGCUUGCGAAACUAAGUAGGGCCUUUUGAAUGAAUUGAAUCUUUAGUAGUCUAUCAGUGGUGCAAAGCGGCUUUGUGCCCCUUUUCAGUAGGGGAGCUAAGGCUUAGACCUUCCUUAGAAAGUCAGCGAACAGCGGUUCUUCUAUGUAGGUAUGGCCUUCCCCCUUGACUCUCCUAACGUCGAGCUAAGUGACUUUGUAACCUUUGCGUAGCGUAGUAGAAUGAAGGCUACGCACUGACGCUCUCUUAUCUAUUAGCCUAAGCGUCUUCGCUAACUCGCUCGCCUACUAUACUAUACCCUACUAUACAAUACAUUAGUAGGGUAGGCUAACCCAUAGGUCCUUAGUAGCGUUGACAAAGAAGAACAGCCGGUUAAAAGACAGUGAAUCUUUAUAAAUAUAUAUUUAUAAAAGAUUCUAUAAUAAUGAAAAAGAUAUUUUAUAUAGGCCAGCUUGACAAGCUACCCUUCCUCUUGAUCUUAGGUGCGAAGAGAAAGAUCUCUUUUUUAUGACUUCCACUUAUCUAUCGAUCCCGGCCCGGAAAAGUGACCGACCAGGGGAAUGAAAGAAAGGCUUUAUGAGCCCUAGCCCUGUAAGCCCACACCUGUGUAGAGUAGAUCGUUCAACACCUGCGGCACAAACCCAUUUUUGACCUAUUGGUCCUAGUAUCAUAGGCGACCGAACGGCCGCCCCCUAAUUACUAGACCAACCUGCUGUAAUAAUUCCAUAAACACCUAACGAAGAUAUGGCAAACAAAUAAAGUAGCCCUAUGUUCGAAUCUGACAAUACCAUACCAUAAUCAAAAGGUACAACGGCCCGAGCGACCAGACUUAACAUAAAUGUAGCCACUGGAGCCAUUCUAAAAAGGGAGAAAUUAGCACUACUUGGUGAAAUAGGUUCUUUUAGAAUCAAUUUCAAACCAUCUGCUAGAGGUUGUAACAAUCCGAACGAUCCCACUACAUCAGGACCUUUUCGACGUUGCACAAAAGCCAUUACUUUACGUUCAGCUAGCACUAAAAAGGCUACUCCUAGUAGAAGUGGUAGAAUUAUUCCAAGUAUUUCAGCUGGAACAGCUAUGUACGUUUUCGAUUUUCUAUUCACUCAUGAUCUGGCCUGGUCGACCCAAUCAUGAUAUUGAAGGAUGGGACCUUUUCUCGAAAAACUUUUGUUUCACAUUUUCGGAACUAGAAGACAUAGUUGAUUAGAUCUAAAAAGUGAAAAAUCUGUUCGCAUAACCAAGCAUUUUGGCCAUGUAACAUGACAUCAUAAUAGUCAUUUGUCAGAAAGCCCGGACUGUCAAUCCGAUCGUCGGAAAUAACAGCCCUAACAAGGUCGGACAUCGUCCACUCCGGCGGUACUUGUCUAUUUGACAGUAGAACUCAGUCUUCGCAUUUAUCGCAGAUUUGAUUAAAUACCCGCUAUAACUCAGGUGGAGCGCUUUGCGCGUCCGACCUAGUUGAAGAAAGAGUGAAAGAGGUACUUGACAGACUAUCAAAAGACAUAUUCCUAGUAUCUGAUAGCAUAAAUUGGACAUCACUGGACGUUGGAUUUCCAAAGAGUAAAAGUUAAUUGUUAUUCAACAUAGGCUACUUUGAAAAAUAGCUCUGCUCCCCUUAAAAAAGACAAAUGAGGUUACUAGUAUCUCGACCAUAGGGAGAGGAAAGACUUGUUUGUUGUAAAUCGCUGGUUGGUUUACCAACCAAGAAAGGGCAAGGGGAGCCCCGCAACGGGGGUAGGGGAUCUUUAUCAUUCAGCGCAGUUGUCGCUUAAAUGCAGAGAAUUGGCCAUUCAAUCUUGUAAACUCAUUGAGACCGCAAUUGGAAAAAGAGAUACGAACGGAGAGGAAUAACCAAUCGAUGAAAGAACAUGAAACCAUUCUGUUUCAAUAGAGGUACGAGAAACGGUUGGGGGCAAUGAAGUAGGUGAAGUCGUUGGAUUUUGCGAGCUGUUCCAACCACUGCUGGAUGUGAUUCCAAGAGCCAAACGAGAAUGAAUACCACACAGAAGAGUAAAGACCAGGCUCCCUAAUGGAAUGUUUAACCGAUCCAUUCCGGAUCGACCGAAUUGGUACGGAAGUUGUAACAUGGGAAAACCACAGAAAACACAACUUAUUUGAAUAACCCGGUGACCUACCAAUUGUAGAAGUAGGAUCUUUGGCAAGCAAUAAGCACUUAAAUAAUACAAUUCGAGUGUACCAUCUUCUUUCUCAUUUCGAGGAAAAGGCGCGGGAGGAAAAGAAAACAACGAAGGGAUCCGAAUCGGACCUAAAUGGGAAUGACAUGAAAAGUCUUUUUCAAAACCUAGUAUUAAGGGCGUUACGACGAUAUACGAGAGGAAUGGAGAAAAACUCGUGAUUGGUGUGGAGGGGAAGAUCUUUUUAUUAUAUAGUUCAAGAAAGAGUCGUCUCAUUUCCUUACAUUAGCAAUGGAAGAUAAAAAAAAGUCAAUAUCUGUUGUUUUUUUCACUUAAACUUAAUAAGAGGUCCCCUCUUUUUUAAAUUUAGUUCAUUAACUUUCAAUCGCAUUUGGGCGUUCUUUCUCUCGAGAGCCCUCCACCGAUCACAGUCGUGAUCCAUUUCUGCCCGUAGCCGAGCACGUUCGUUGUCACGAACCCGAUCUAUUUCUCGGGCUUGAUCCAACCGGCUGUCGACUGAGUCAAGAACCGUCUUGAGGCGCGCGAAUCUUUCUUGUCUGGCCUCCUGACCCUCGGUGGGGGAUUCACUCAAGUGGCGAAUCUCCCUAAACCAUAAGUCGCCAAUCUAGGCGUAUGGUCUUUGUUCAUUCCAAAGAAAGAAGGUAGUGUUCGGUAACUAACUGUUCGCCGGUUGGCUCGUUUCCUAUCCCCUAUCCAAAAAAGGUGGAAGGCGACCCCCUAGCCAAACACUUCCUUUCCCUUUUCCGUAACCUUCAACUAAGCUUCAAGACCGAUUCUCCCCUGUACAAACUCCUAACUUGGAUCUUCCUACCGCUGAUGAGAGGCCAUCCCCUCCCUACCACCAUAUAUGAAAUAUGCCUUGUUUUUUUUCAAUCCUCCCUUCAACAGAUCCGUAAGGGCAGAUCUGGUAGCAAGAGAUCAAUUAUCAGAUUAAGUAAAGGGAUUGCCUAGCUAGCGCAUAUCGAAGAGUUUGAGCAGUGGCCUUUGUUCACAUCCUGAUUGGGUUUCAUCGAGGUAUCUUCUUCUCCUCUUGUUGCGACAAAUCGAGUUGCAGCACAUGACGAGUGCCCAUCUUUCCCGAAGCUCCACUUUCAUAAACACCCAUCGGUACAACAAUUGAUCACAACGGAAAGUAAUUAAGCUUGAUCCCGUUUUCCAUCGAAUCCUAUUCUCAACCUCGAGUCAGGAGUUGUUGCCCUAACUUCGUUAGCCUAGAAAGGCUUUGUUUGAAAGCUGUCUUUUCAAGAAGAAAGUAACACCGCUACUACUAUUAUAAUAUAAUAGCUACCUAUUCUCAUCCGAGGAGAACGGAACUACCUUUAGAGUAGACCUAACUGCUGCGGUUACGCCUCCAACAGAUGAAAUCGCACCGUCGUCUUCCCAGCGUAGAGCAAAGCAAACAAGUCAGCCGGAGUUCCAGAAGUCUCUUUAGUAGCAAAAAGGCUAAUCGGUAAUAAGCCUUCAGUCGACCAUCGGGAGAUACGCCUCCAGGCCAAACAGAUAAGGGAAGCGAGAACAUGAUCUUCUUCCUUUGCCUUUUAUAUGAUUACCUCUUCAGCGAGCGAGUACUCAUAUUAUGCCUUCCUUUCAGUCCUCCGAUCUUACCUUAGACCCUCCAUGCUAUGCGGGGAAGCGAGGCUGUCUACGAAGCUUCCCUCCCCCUGUAGUCGAAGUACUCGGCGCUACUUUGAUUCAAAAGGUUCCCGACUUUAUCCGGUUUCCGCAACCGUAAUCAUUUGUCAUUCCGAUUACUUCAUCCAUCAACCUUUUUUUCAAUAGCGGUACGCUCUAAAAAAAGUAAAGGAUAAGCUUGCAUUCUAGAAGCGGUAGCUUCCCGCCUCCUUCAUUUCUACUGCCUCCUUCGGUGAUAAAAGUUCCCUUCCCUUUUCUAAAAUGCCCGAUUGGUCUGCCUCAGCAAAUGUACAAAGUGGACCGCUGUUUGGCUGACCCUCUUCUUCCCAUUCGGGUUGGGUUGACCCAGAAGUAAAGUAAGAAGGAAUGGAACCACUGGAGAGUCGUCCGCAGUUCACACUUGGGCAAAGACGACUGAGUUUGGAAGCGGAACACGAACCGAUUUCCGCUAUUCCGGGUUCUUAUUGAGCGUAGCGAAAUCAAGGUUUAUUAGAAAGUCAGCGAAGUUUCUAUGGUGUUCUACCUUUGCGUAGUCUCGGUCCACAGUGGAAGGCUCCGUACCGACGCCUCACUACUACUGAAUUUAAUUAAUGGCUAAGCGAUUUCAUAACCUGAGCUUUCCUUAACCAGCUGACCUUACUUCGUAACCUUAACGUACUUUCUUUCUUACUAUAUCAAUCAUAGGCCUUCGCCACUUCAAACGGGCGCUUCGCCCUUUCUUUUUUUUAUUAGAAAAAAACGGGGCCUUACUUAUUCUGUUCAGGGAGGAUGAAAGACAAAGAAAGGGAUCAGGGGGCUUAUUGAUCGGAGAAAGGGAAGGGACUUCUUGGACCUAACUGAGAAGGAGACAUAAAGGGAUCACCUGACCUUAUCUUGAGUGAGAGAGGCAAGUCGCAAGGCAAAAAGCUUAGUCGUUUUCAACUCCGAGAGUGACUUCACUUACGGGAUUUCUAUUUCAUUCAGAGCCUGUUCCGGGCAUUGAGAGCAGACGAAGACUAAUAAUACUUUCGGAUAGCACGUGAGAUCAACUACUUAGAAUACGCUACCAUCUGUCUUCGAUUAUGCUCGUUCUACUUUGAGGGAGAGAUCGCUCCUUUAAGGAGACGGGAUUCUACUAUUAUAUAUGAAUAUGAUCCCACCACUUGAAACUGAUUCAACACCAUUCUUCUUCCAAGAGAAAGAAGAGCAAGAACAUCGCUUAUUCUGCAGCAACCUUCCUUUAUGCCUCUGUCGUCGCCGGGCUAAGGCCUGCUGAGACAAUAGAUAGUCAGGCAGGUGGCCUAGCCCUAAGGUGAUUCUCGCUCCUACUUUGAUUUUUGAUUCGCGUAGUGAUAAAAUCAUUUCCGAUUGGCUUUCUUUGUUUGCUUUCCUUUCCCUAAACUUAAUCGAAUCUUUCUGCCCCAUAAGAGAAAUUGGCUUUUUCUGGUGAAAACUUAGAUGUUGAAGCAUGGGCGGCCGUCGAUCGAUGAAUUGAGAAAGAGACCGGGGAUUCCAUUUCAAUAGAGAAAGCUAUCGAUGGUCGCAUUGGGACGGGAACAAGAGCAAUUCUUGGUCCCACCAAACCAUGCCAUGAACAGUCGACUCAACAAGAGCAGGGGAUAUUUAAACUAAGACUCAUUCCGUCUAUUGCUCUACCUUCCUCCAACAGAUUGAAUUGCAUCGUUUAUUCCCCGGCAAAACUAGCUGCUGACUCAACCUCCCCUCGGGUCUACGCCCUCUUUGUUUUAGCAUCGGCGAUUGAAAGAGAGUAGGAGCGCAUUCUCUCCAUCUCAGUUGGAAAGUCUAUCGCUCUCAGCAGCAGUUCCUUGGUCAUACCCUCGGUGAUGACUAGCAGUCCUUCCUGAUUGAGUUCUCACCCUCUAUGGAUAGAUCAAGAGUUCCGGCCCGGCUAUGAUUCCAUCAACAAACCCGAUUCGGUAUAAAAGCUUAGCUUCUAUUACAAGAAUCUAUUUUGAAAAGAGCUAUCCUAAAGCUUGACAGGUCUCCCCAACUCUGUUUUUCACUCGAAAACCGAAAGCAUAAGGAUGAGCCUUGGGCCCCCUUUCCCAAGAGCAGAAGGAGCGUUUAGAUACUGUACCUACCUUUAGGUGCGUGCAGGAGCAAGGACGAAAGGAGAACAAGUCGCAGGAGAAGCGUUGAAGAAGCAGUAGUUUAAGCCAUUGAUCCUGCAGCUUAUCAAAAUAAGCACCAGCAGACAGAGGUAGAUACAGAGCCAUAGGCAAACCUUCACGAUCGAUAGCCUUUUAUGAAUACGACCCUCGUGCUCGAGAGGCGGAUCCAAAGGCAGUCGCUUACCUAGGAGCAUACUUCGGUGUAGCAUAUAUAGCGGCAUACCCCUUUGACCUAGGUGGAAAAGAGAUCUAUUGAAACCCACCAUAAGUAUCUGGGGAGACAGCUGCGGAUACAGAUUUACCAUAAGCAAAAGCGGCUACUGAGGCGAAGGCAAAUAAGGUUCCGUUCCGGAAAAAGAAAU